ACAUAGUUGUCCUUCCAUUUUCUUCAGCAAAAUCAAGAAUGCCUCUUACUCUGGUGAGAAUAGAAAUAGCUGAAAACCCUAAAAAUGGCUUCUCUGUAAUUGAAGUCAUUAUGGCACAAAGGAAUAACCAAAAGAGCAGAACUAAAAAUGGUCCUCAUGAGCAAACAAACAAGCAAAAUGAUGACCCUUCACAACUUACCUGUACUUACUGGGAAAUACAAAAACAUGGGGCUUCCCCUUGGAAACAUGACCACUAAGGAGAUGGCACCACUAUCCACUCUUCUAAGUGUGUGAGAUUUGCUGGCCCUCUGUUCUAUUCACUGACUCAUACAGCAGCUCACUAAGAAGUAUAUGCAUCUUCUAUUUCUCCUUCCUGCUACUACUGCAUCACAUGAAUUAAGCAAGUUACCACAGUGCUUAUGAGUCAAACCACAGAGACUGAAAGAUACAUCAGGGCUAGGUGAUGUAAAGCAAAGCCCACAAAGACUAGGCAGAACAGAACACAGAAUUUUAUCUGACAGUGUGAAACUUCCUGUGCUUGUAAUCAUCCAUAUUGUGGAGCUCUACAAUUAGUUCAUUACAACACCUAAUGUGAUUAUGUACAUUUAGACCAUAGUCUUGCAGUCACAUUUCACUGAUGCAAUGCAUAAUAAUGUACGUUAUCUGGAUGCAGACACAGAUGCACUCUCUCUUCCCCCCUCUGUCUCUAGCUUUCGCUAGUUCAAUCUACUUCACAGAAACUUUCACAUAAACAGGCUGAAAGUAUGUUUUCCAACAGUGACUGUUAUC
rnacentral:lncRNA from 7 species